AAAAAUGCUUUGGAUACUAUGCGGAUGGUUUCGUCAACAGCUGUGAAUGUGAUGUUAGGGUGUUGUCGGUUCAGAUAGUCAAGAAAGAGAGGGACGUGAUC